rnacentral:rRNA from 1 species
GAAGUAAAAGUGGUAACAAGGUUUCCGUAGGUGAACCUGCGGAAGGAUCAUUAUUGAAUUUUAAUGAAGAGUUCGGUUGUAGCUGGCCCAUUCAUUUGGGCAUGUGCACACCUUCCUCUUUCAUCCCACACACACCUGUGAACUUGUGAGAUAGAUGGGGAAUUUACUUGUUGCUUUUUGGAAUACAAAGGCAAUAGGUUAUUGGAACCUCUGUCUACUUAAUUAAUAUAAACUCAAUUUAUUUUAAAACGAAUGUAAUGGAUGUAACACAUCUCAUACUAAGUUUCAACAACGGAUCUCUUGGCUCUCGCAUCGAUGAAGAACGCAGCGAAAUGCGAUAAGUAAUGUGAAUUGCAGAAUUCAGUGAAUCAUCGAAUCUUUGAACGCACCUUGCGCUCCUUGGUAUUCCUUGGAGCAUGCCUGUUUGAGUAUCAUGAAUUCUUCAAAGUAAAUCUUUUGUUAAUUCAAUUGGUUUCACUUUGGUAUUGGAGGUCUUUUGCAGCUUCACACCUGCUCCUCUUUGUGCAUUAGCUGGAUCUCAGUGUUAUGCUUGGUUCCACUCGGCGUGAUAAAUUAUCUAUCGCUGAGGACACUGUAAAAAGGUGGCCAAGGUAAAUGCAGAUGAACCGCUUCCAAUAGUCCAUUGGGCUUGGACAAUACCUUUAUGAUCUGAUCUCAAAUCGGGUAGGACUACCCGCUGAACUUAAGCAUAUCAAUAA